ANGUCGAGCGGGGUUGUUUUGGAAGCUUGCUUCCGAAGCAACCUAGCGGCGGACGGGUGAGUAAUACGUAGGCAACCUGCCCCUCAGCCUGGGAUAACUAGCGGAAACGUUAGCUAAUACCGGAUAAUUUGCUUCAUCGCAUGAAGNAGCAAUGAAAGACGGAGCAAUCUGUCACUAAGGGAUGGGCCUACGGCGCAUUAGCUAGUUGGUAGGGUAAUGGCCUACCAAGGCGACGAUGCGUAGCCGACCUGAGAGGGUGAACGGCCACACUGGGACUGAGACACGGCCCAGACUCCUACGGGAGGCAGCAGUAGGGAAUCUUCCGCAAUGGACGCAAGUCUGACGGAGCAACGCCGCGUGAGUGAUGAAGGUUUUCGGAUCGUAAAGCUCUGUUGCCAGGGAAGAACGUCUUGGAGAGUAACUGCUCUAAGAGUGACGGUACCUGAGAAGAAAGCCCCGGCUAACUACGUGCCAGCAGCCGCGGUAAUACGUAGGGGGCAAGCGUUGUCCGGAAUUAUUGGGCGUAAAGCGCGCGCAGGCGGCCAUUUAAGUCUGGUGUUUAAUCCCGGGGCUCAACUCCGGGUCGCACUGGAAACUGGGUGGCUUGAGUGCAGAAGAGGAGAGUGGAAUUCCACGUGUAGCGGUGAAAUGCGUAGAGAUGUGGAGGAACACCAGUGGCGAAGGCGACUCUCUGGGCUGUAACUGACGCUGAGGCGCGAAAGCGUGGGUAGCAAACAGGAUUAGAUACCNNGGUAGUCCACGCCGUAAACGAUGAAUGCUAGGU
rnacentral:rRNA from 1 species